GAAAAAGUGUAUAAAGACAAAGAUUACGGUAUAAGUAAGAAAUGAAAACCAUCAUAUGACAAACUGAGGUGCAAAGAAGAAGCAAGUAUUAGCAGUAAAAUGCUAAAUCACAAGAUAAUAAAAUCUUUAAGUCUUCAACGAAGAGCAUUGAUGACUAUUGAAGAAUGAAAUCCAGUAAACUCACUAGCAUUCACUUAUGACAAUUACCGGAAUCUUUUAACUUGGAAGAUUUCAAAAUGACAAUAAUGCUCAUGAUAUCCUCAAAACAUUUGUUUAAAAAAUUCUAUGGCCCCCGCCCCGCAACAAAUCAUAUAGGCAUUCUUGGGCAUCAUAAAAACUUGAACAUCCAGCGACAAAAAUAAAUUAAUUUUUAGCUCUUAGCUCCUAACAGCUCCCCUCACCAGAGCUAAAAUUCCACAAUCAAUUUUCCUUUUGA
rnacentral:misc_RNA from 1 species